rnacentral:rRNA from 1 species
UACGGAGGAUGCGAGCGUUAUCCGGAUUUAUUGGGUUUAAAGGGUGCGUAGGCGGAUUAAUAAGUCAGUGGUGAAAACCUUCAGCUUAACUGGAGAACUGCCAUUGAUACUGUUAGUCUUGAGUACGGUCAAGGUAGGCGGAAUGUGUAAUGUAGCGGUGAAAUGCUUAGAUAUUACACAGAACACCGAUUGCGAAGGCAGCUUACUGGGCCAUUACUGACGCUGAUGCACGAAAGCGUGGGGAGCGAACAGG